rnacentral:piRNA from 1 species
UGAGCAUCACCCUACACGGACUUGGCUC